rnacentral:lncRNA from 1 species
AUUGGUGGAAAUAGGAACUACCGACAGGCACCGAUAGACUGUCGGUGCAAUAGCUGAAAUACCAUUCGAGCACCGACAGUCUGUCGGUGCAAUAGAUUUUUCGAAUAAGAACUUGGGCAGGCCAUCAAGGAUCCGUAUCAAGUAUAACGCAUCAGAAACAACGAAAGCGGCCGAGCCUUGGCACCGGUGACUUGGACAGCUACGUAUCCUCAGCCCAAAAAUCCAGCGUUGGUUACGGAAUCGAAAAAGACGAAGCUUUGAUCGUGAACUGCAAAUAACAAGUAGAUUUGAUACCAACUUUGAUCACCCAACGUUGGGUCAAGACGCUUAGCUCCAAGUACCCCACCAUGGAAUUCCGUUCUUCGAUGACCCAUCCCUUUGGUAAAGGUUCGUUGAUCAACUCUGUGCGCCAGUUUGACAAGUUUCACCCCAACAAUAAGCAAAUCAGCGUGGGUUCCAUCGGUUACCGGAAAAUUGGAAAAUCAACCGUCAUUAAUUCGUUACCCAGCAAGAAAGUCUGCGAGGGCGCCCAUCGCCGGUGAGACCAAAGUUUGACAGCACAUCACGCUGAUGCGUCGAAUCUUCCUCAUCGACUGCCCGGAAGUUGUAUUUCCCACCGGAGAGACGGACGAAGAAAAAGUGUUGAAGGGUGUCGUUCAAUUGGAAAAGCCGAAAACGUCCUAAGUA